UAGGGCCACCCCGUGGCAUAUGGAGGUUCCCAGGCUAGGGGUCGAAUCGGAGCUGUAGCCGCCGGCCUAAGCCAGAGCCACAGCAACGCAGGAUCCGAGACCCGUCUGCGACUUACACCACAGCUCAUGGCAAUGCCAGAUCUUUAACCCACUGAGAAAGGCCAGGGAUUGAACCUGCAACCUCACGGUUCCUAGUCGAAUUCAUUAACCACUGAGCCACGACAGGAACUCCAAAGAUGACAAGUUUUAUGCAUACUUAUCAUUCCCACUAUAUUGGUUUUGGCUUUCUGGCUACUCUCCCACUUUCCCCCCUUAGACCCUUCCUUCAUUCAUGUAUAUUCUGGCAAAAUAUAAAUGCUCACACAAAAUCAAGUUUUCAAGAAGUCAGGAAUAAACGGGAUUACUCAAGGCACAACUGUGUGCCUUUAAGUUUGUGCCUCUCCAUUUUCCCUUUCUGUUUCUUUUCCCUUAUCCAGUUAUCCAGUCACUCUCCCAUUACCGAAAUAAAAAUGCAUUCCUUGUUGGAAGCUGAAAUUCUUCACCGAGUUAAGAGGACAGGUUGGUGGAGAUGCAGAUGUCAGCAGAUUUUUCCCAAACUGCAUCAUGAAAAAAAUUGUAUAACUUUUGCUAAACUAAGUCUUGGGUUUCAGUUCAUUGGUGGCUAGAACUAUUACUAACAAAUUUUAAAUGUAUGUGCAACUAUUUUUGAACUAUUAAUUUCUUUCAACCGUCUCAUUUUACUACACUUUAUUAAAAUGCACAAGAGAUUUGGAGUUCCAUUCCUUACUUGUAGGAAACAUUUUCUUGUAAUCUUCUUAAAUGCAUCUGUCUCCUGACUCCUAUCAUCUUUUGGGGGUAGAACGUAACAAUCCAGCAAAGCCAAUCCGUACAUUCUCUGCCUGACCAUGGUCAUGGGUUUAGGGAUGGCAUGUGACCCAAGGGAAUUCCGUUGGGGUGAGACAUAGGACUCCUUCCAGCAUCGUGGGACCCUGACCCUAUCUCUUGCCCUGAUCUGUAAGGGUGCCUGUUGCAGCCUGAGGGAAGCAGGCCUGAGUGUGAAGUUUUGCUCUGAGGAUGUAAAGGGCUAAACAAACCACAGGAAGAGGUGAUAGGAGUCCUGAGCAAAGGAGGCUACAUUACUAAGUCAAAUUCCUUUAUUCAAAGCAUUUCUAGCAGAUUUUCCCUUAAUGUGAAACUGAAUACAUUUGACUCAUAAAUUCAGUAAAUUCAGUAAAUACACAUUAAGCCCAUGCCAGGUUCUAGGAAUACAGCAAAAAAUGACACAUAAAUUCUUCCCUGAAGUUGCUCACACACUAGCAGAAGAGUUAAAAAAAGAAAUGGAAGAACUAAACCAAUACAGUGUGAUGAUGAAUUAAGAACGGUAAGCAAAGGAAUAUUAGAAUAUUAUGGAAGAAAGGGACCUGAUCCAGCGCUGGUUUAAUAAAAAUAACACUAAAAAGUCAGAAUAAACCACAUCAUCAUUUUAUAUAAUCAUCUGCUAUUAACGGCAUGGCUAUUUCCUUGCCUUCAAUACGAAACGGCUAUGGUUUGAAAGCCAAAUACUAAUACUCUCACCCAACACUGAGCCUCCUAAAAUCACAACUCAUUCCUGAAAAAAAUCGUCAUUUGCUGUGUGGCAUGAUGAGGACAUUCCAGAGAAUAAAAUGCAAAGCACUAACUCAGGCCACUACCAGGUAACUUGUUUCACUCGAGGGGUUUUUCGGGAGAACUCUCUGGGGAUCUGGAACCCAACAAAUUCAGGAAGGCAAACAUUAACUGAGAUUUUCUCAGCCACAGUGGUAAAACAGUAUUUGCAUGUUAAAACAUAUUCUUGUAUGAGUGAACUGUUCCCUAUGGCAUCAUACGCGGUAAAGGAUAUGAAAGCAAGUUAAAGAAGACGAAGCACACAAAACAAACACCGGUUACUGCCAGCCUUCCAGAGUGGACACUGCCACUAUAAUCCGAGAGGCAGGCGUUGUGAUUAUCUCCCGCCCUUCCCUCUUCUGGUCAAUCCUGGACGACAAAUGAGCAUGGUAAAGAAGGCCCAGUGCACACUAAUGUGCUGAGAUAAGGACCGACAGCCUACUCUUCUCCCUGGGGUUUGUACAUCUGAGAGCAGAGGCAGGGCUUUUGCAGCUUUUGCUUCCUCGACUCUUUGUCAUGGAGAGGGUACAAUGACAGACAACUGAGUGACCGAUCUUCUAGUGUAACAGGACGUGGGCAAGAAAACAAACAUUUAAAGGCAAUUUCCAGAGGGUGCGUGCCACCAGCUUUAUCUUCCUAGCUACGCGGUUGGGAAGAGCAGUGCCAUUUUAUAGAUGAGGAAAUGCAGACUCUGAGAGCGUAAAUGACCCGACGGAGAAAAACGACUGCAAGGCCUUUUUCUCGACGUGAUUCUGACUGAUCUCAUAAUCAUUUUAUUUAGAAUUCUUGUAGCUAAAAGGCAUUUCUACAGCACAGAAAACUGAACGGUGUUUGAAAUGAUUCAUCAUUAAUGAUGAUGCAGCCUCUUCAUUACAACUUAGAUACUAGCUCUUAAUAAAUGCUGAAAAAAGAAUGGCAACAUGCAGAGUUCCCUUGUGGCUCAGUGGGUUAAGGAUCUGGUGUCCCUGCUGGGGUUCGGGGUUCACUGCCGUGGCACAGGUUCUGUUUCUGGCCUGGGAACUUCUGCAUACCACAGGCACAGCCAAAAAAUAAAAAAAUAAAAUAAAAUAAAAAAAGAAUGGCAACAUGCAGUCAACUUCUAAAGCAAACAGGCAUUUCACAGGAUUCCACUAGUUUUGCUCCUUUAGUGCAUCACCCGAAAUAGUUUUAAGUAAGUCUUUACUUAAAGUCAUAGUUUAAAGGAACAAGGUUUAUCUCUGUGCAUAGCGCAGCACUGAUACAAGGGUCCAGUUUUGUGAGAGAUAGUGAAUAAAAUUUCUUAAUCAGCUACCUAAACAUCCCCAAAGCAGUAAAAAUUCUACCAACUAUACACAAAGUUUGCUUCUCUAUAUAAAGUUUAAACCCAUCUAAAUAAGGGCAAAAGAAACAGAAGUGAACUAAGAACUACAUCAGCACAAACUAGACAAUCUAGGAGACACUCAAAAGGAAGAAAGCAUCAUCACAGAAAAAGGACAACAAUCCAGGGCUCAACUUGCAUUUCAGUUGUACUCCAGAGAGCUGAUUUUCUCCACCCUGAACACUAGUGUAAAGAUAAAUGUAUGGUUCUUAGAAGGAAGAUCGGUCAUUUAAAGAACAUUAAUUUGUGGCUACUCUAUGCCAGGCACUGUUCUAGAUUCUCUAUCAAACCUCUGUUCAUGUUUUAUUAAGACAGCAUAUAUAUGGUUCACCAUUCUGGAAAUGUUAAUCCUUUUCCUAUUCCUUUGACUUUUCAUCUCAAACUACUUACUUUCCUAGCCAACCUGGAAACUCAAAAUUUUUCAGCAUUCUUGAUUCACUUUCUCUCAUAUUCUUCUUUUGUGCCUACUCUUUUGCCCUGG
rnacentral:lncRNA from 1 species